CGCCAGACUCCUACGGGAGGCAGCAGUGGGGAAUAUUGCACAAUGGGGGAAACCCUGAUGCAGCAACGCCGCGUGAGUGAAGAAGUAUUUCGGUAUGUAAAGCUCUAUCAGCAGGGAAGAAAAUGACGGUACCUGAGUAAGAAGCCCCGGCUAACUACGUGCCAGCAGCCGCGGUAAUACGUAGGGGGCAAGCGUUAUCCGGAUUUACUGGGUGUAAAGGGAGCGUAGACGGCGAUACAAGUCUGAAGUGAAAGCCCGGGGCUCAACCCCGGGACUGCUUUGGAAACUGUGUUGCUGGAGUGCUGGAGAGGCAAGCGGAAUUCCUAGUGUAGCGGUGAAAUGCGUAGAUAUUAGGAAGAACACCAGUGGCGAAGGCGGCGUGCUGGACAGUAACUGACGUUGAGGCUCGAAAGCGUGGGGAGCAAACAGGAUUAGAUACCCCUGUAGGA
rnacentral:rRNA from 1 species